rfam:Vitis vinifera, whole genome shotgun sequence of line PN40024, unoriented chromosome 12, chr12
CAGCACAAUGUCUCCCGGGCUAAUCCGAAGACUUCUUGAAGAAAAAGGCCCCAACACACGUGCUAAAACGACGCCGUUUAGUGUUGCAGUUCAAUCUUGAAUCUCUCCCACAGCUGAUCUGUGUCAAAUCAACGGCCACAUCC